rnacentral:RNase_P_RNA from 1 species
CGGACGGUCGCGCGGUAUUGCGCCGAAAGGUAUUACCGUGAGGAAAGUCCGGGCUUCACAGGGCAGGAUAGCUGAUAACGUCAGCCGGAGGCGACUCCCGGGAAAGUGCAACAGAAAUAGACCGCCGUCGGUUUUCCGACGGUAAGGAUGGAAAGGCGAGGUAAGAGCUCACCCACUCUCAUGGUAACAUGAGUUUGCUGUAAACCCUAUCCGAAGCAACACCGCAUAUGGAUCGUUUGCCCGACAUAUAUCCAUGGGUGGCACGGAGGCAAAGUCAAUGAUUUUGCUUCGGAGCUUUGCGGUGACGUAAAGCAAAGAUAGAUGAUCGUCCGCGACAGAACCCGGCUUACAGAUAU